rnacentral:rRNA from 1 species
GCAACUGACGCUGAGGCGCGAAAGUGUGGGGAGCAAACAGGAUUAGAUACCCUGGUAGUCCACACUGUAAACGAUGAAUGCUAGGUGUAAGAGGUAUCGACCCCUUUUGUGCCGCAGUCAACACAAUAAGCAUUCCGCCUGGGGAGUACGGCCGCAAGGUUGAAACUCAAAGGAAUUGACGGGGGCCCGCACAAGCAGCGGAGCAUGUGGUUUAAUUCGACGCAACGCGAAGAACCUUACCAGGUCUUGACAUCCAGUAAAAGCCAUAGAGAUAUGGUGUGAGCUUGCUCAUACUGAGACAGGUGGUGCAUGGUUGUCGUCAGCUCGUGUCGUGAGAUGUUGGGUUAAGUCCCGCAACGAGCGCAACCCUUGCUGAUAGUUACUAACGAGUGAAGUUGAGGACUCUAUCAGGACUGCCGGGGACAACUCGGAGGAAGGUGGGGACGACGUCAAACCAUCAUGCCCCUUAUGACCUGGGCUACACACGUGCUACAAUGGCCGUAACAGAGAGGAGCGAGUCCGUAAGGAUGAGCAGAUCUCAAAAAAGCGGUCUCAGUUCGGAUUGUGGGCUGCAACCCGCCCACAUGAAGUCGGAGUUGC